rnacentral:lncRNA from 1 species
UGAGUCACUCUCUCAUAACCGAAGGUGCGUAAUUACGCACUGCACCCUCAAACUUUGUCACACCUCUACUGUAUAUUCCGAAGUGUCAGCACUGUCCCUUAUAUCAACCGCACGACGUGACGUCUCAUGGCGCUCUGAGUCAAUACACAAUACGAGGAAAUCCCCAAGGCCGAGAAAACGACGAGAGGCCCCUUUAAAUCGACGCUUCCUCUGUGUUGUGCCAAGAGAGAGAGAGACAGAGAGACAGAGAGAGCGAGAGAGAAAGAGAAAGAGCUCUGAUAAACAACAACACUGUUCUCAGUCAGAAGCCGCUUUUACCACAUUCAGCUCUUUACUGCGGCCUCGGUGAAGAAGAGGCUACGAGGACUUUCUCUCUGUCAUUUCCAGCAUUCUAUCGUCUGUUGUUCAUACAUUCAUUGUUGAAUGCUAUUGCGGAAGUGAGAAGCUUUUCGACACGACACAAAGCUUGGGCAGUGUGGACAUCUAGCGGCCUACCAGGAGAAGGCGCCCUUCUUAGAGAUGUACGGAGCUUCAGUUAUCCCAGAGCUCAUCCCGGCCAGCGGGCCGCCUCGGCAGCCGGGUCCGGCGGAGCAGUACAACCCGGGACACCCCCAGGUCAACGGUGACGGCGGGGGGACCAACCCUCAGAGGCUUGGGCAGAGGGCACCCAAGCUGGGGCAGAUUGGUCGAACCAAGAAAGUGGACUUGGACGAUGAAGACUUGGAUGACAUCAUGAACAACAAUGGGCAGUGUCCUGUGUCCCUGUCGCCCAUCUCUUAAACUUCACCAAGAAGUGCCAAAAAAAAAAAUCCCCCCAGGACGCCAAAACUCCCCGUCAGUGAUGUUGGCCUUGAUCCUGUCGUGUGUCCUACUGAAGCUUCUGAUGGCUCAACCAGGCACAAAGAACGGCUCAUUUAGCGGCAGCUGAAGCCUAAGCCCUGAUUGUACAUAGUGUUUGUUUAAGUCAGACUGUGAAUGAAUUGUAUUGCAUCGCUCUCUACUCUAUACCUCGGCAGUAGAUUAUCAGGACUCGAGAGAGAUUUGGAGAAAGUGUCUAUAUUUUUCAGAGCUUCUUAAAAAGGGCUACAUUUCUAAAGUUGCACUGAGCGAAUGAUUCGAUGAAAAGCAAGCUUCUCACCUGCCUGUUUUCUGGUGAGAUUGUCUGUGGUUUUGGUUGUGUGAGGGCACACACACGCCUGUUAAUGUGUAACACACAGGUGAAAUGUUAAGCUUUGGUUGUGCAAUGACUAUCAUUCUCUACUCUCACACUGAUGCAAGUGGUGUACUAAUAUCCGGUGGAUGAAAGCUCGCUAUUUACUUAAAAGAAAAAAACUACUGCUAAUUAUUUAUUGUUUUAAAAAAACGAGAAGAAACAUUUUGUUGUGUUGUUAUGGCUUCUACGUGUUUUUUACUUGUUUCUGAAUGGAAAUCGCUUCAGUCAUCUAUAACUGAGAUUUAUUAUGUUUUCAAAUGGUGCACUUUGUGGGAAUGCCUCUUAUGUGCAGUGACAUGUUGCAGAAUUCUAUGCAUGGAGUCUGUUGAAGCAUCAAAACAUGUAAUCGGUAUCCUCUUAUUAAGGGCUAUGUAAUAGUAUUUCCAAACCACAGCACCGUUAUGCUCUUUAGAUCACGCUGAGCCAACAUUUUCCUAAGCUCAUUGUUGGCUUGCGCUGCUGACUCGGCAGAAAAAUAUCGUAAACGACAACAUAUUUAUGGAGGUUUUGUUUUUAAAAAGCAGGGUUUCCCAGUUGGCCAGACAACUGUGAUAAAAGACAUGUACACUUCUAAUUAUUUAAAAUCAAUUGCCAAAUGAUAUUUGACGCUAUAUCAGAUUGAUCAUCGAAAUGGAUUGACAUGUCACAAGGAACUUACUUUGUAUUAAUAUUUAAGGCAGCAAUCUGCUCGUUGAUCUUACACCCUCACGGCGUCAUAGUGUCUUUUCGGGUUUAGGUGAACUCUUUAAUGUCCACCUUUACUUCACAAUUACAGUAUGAGAUAAUGAAAACACGCAGCUCUCUAUGAUUAGCUCUCACUGCUGAGACAAUCUUAACAUGGAGGUUUUUUGUGGUCAUUUGGGUUUUUUAAAGAUUACAGUAGACCUUGAAAUGACACGCUAUUGUCUGUAGAGGCUCAUGCUGAUGUCAUGUUACUUAGUUGGCUGUGAAAUUGUUACUAGUUCACUUUUACUUUUGUUUGCCUCAUGGAAACACUGCAUUUCACAGCCCAUUCUCUGAAUCAAAGAUUGUUGUUUGGGGUAGUGGCUACCAUUUGCAUGGAAAUGGUUUACUUUUCAUAAUGCAUCUCGGGAAAUAAAAGACAAAUCUUUGUGGAAUCUGUUGUUUUCAUGCACUUGUUGCCAAUUUUGUUCUACAACUUCACAUAACUUUUCAUGCAUUGUGUUUUUUUCACCCUGUUCUUUGAACUUUCACACAGAAAGAGUCUUUUUCUGUCUUCUUUGCUACGGAAACAAAAUGUUUCUGUUGUGCUGACUCAUUCAUUGUGAGUCCAUAACUAGUACAUAUGAUUUAAACAUAAAAAACACUCUGCUAUGAAUAAUAUGUUGUGUCUGAUAUGAUAUAAAACUUCUUAGAAUGACCUCUUCC